rnacentral:lncRNA from 1 species
GGAAACGGAACGAAAGUCUUAUUUGAAAGCCCUCAAAUGUUUUCCUAAAUCCCUCUAAAAACAAGUGAUUUAACCAAUUCCAAAGUUUUCUGCAAUGUAAAUAUUGAAUUUUAGCAGUCAAACUGUAAUUUUAAGUCGUUAAUAAAAUCAAAUUUAAUUGGAAAAAUCUUCAGACUGCUAAGAAAAUAUACACUGAAGCUUAUUUGUCUGCUUUCGAGAGUAUCAGUGCUUUCCUAAGUAUGAUUCGUAGAACUGUAAAGUAACUGUAGAAGUUAACUCCUGAUAAAUUUCCUAUUAAAAGCAUCAAUCGGUAACUAGUUGACCUUCUAAAUCCAGCCUGUUGUAUGCUGCAGAAUUGGUUAAAAUAGGGCAUGCUGGAAUCCGCUGAUUUUUCUUGUUUAAAAAGCGCACUUUGUGAAUGCUGUGGGAGGAGAUAGGACUCUGACAACAUCACCAAAACUGCUCAGCCAGUUCUGUCAUUGGAUUUUAACAUGCUUAUCCUUUCCCCGGUGGCAGUGAAAGUGGUAGCUAGAUUUGUGUAUGGUUUAGGCCGGCUGUAUGGUUCAUUUUGUUUGUCUGCUGAAAGUGAAAGGCUUACCAGCUGCAAACAAUCACAAGUGGUUACUUACGGCGACUGUGUACAGCUAGUCAUAAUGCUCAACUGGUACAUAAGGUAAUAUAUUGAGACCAGCAGGAUGUGUUGUGCUGUUCUGAUGUAUUCUGCUGCCAUUUGUGCUAGGUCAAUACACUGUAAUUACUGCUUACCCAGCAACAGUCUGUUGCAUCGAAAGUUUAAAUCUUCCUCUGAUGUGGUUUUUAUAGCUUUUUUUAAAAGAAAAAAAAAAAAGGGGAAAGGCAAAGCAGCAGGAGAAGAAAGCAGGGGUCCCUCCCAUGGAUGCUGUCCUUCCCGAAUUGAGCCUGCAGGGGCUGCCCACAGGCAGCAGCUCUUCAAGAACUGCUCCCACACGGCUCCGUACCACGGGGUCCAUCCCCCAGGAGCAAACUGCUCCAGCACGGGUCCCCCACAGGCGGCAGCUCCCCCCAGACCCCCUGCUCCUGUGUGGGCUCCUCUCCACGGGCUGCAGCUCCGGCCCGGGGCCUGCUCCUGUGGGGGCUCUCCAUGGGCCGCAGCCUCCUCCAGGCCACAUCCACCUGCUCCACCAGGGGCUCCUCCACCCAUGGGGGGGCUGCAGCAUGGAGAUCUGCUCCAUGUGGGACCCACGGGCUGCAGGGGGACAGCCUGCUCCACCAGGGGCCUCUCCACAGACUGCAGGGGAUCUGCUGCUGCGUGCCUGGAGCACCUCCUCCCCUCCUGCACUGACCUUGGGGCUGCAGGGCUGCUUCUCACCCCUCUCUCCCAGCUGCCAUUGUGCAGCAGGUUUUUUUCCCUUAACUCUGCUCUCCCAGAGGCCCAACCAGUAUCACUCAGUGGCUCAGCUCUGGCCAGCAGCAAGUCGCUUUGGAGCCAGCUGAAACUGUCCUGUAUCUAACAUGAGGCAGCUGCUGGGUUCUUCUCACAGAGGACACCCCUGCAGCCCCCUGCUACCAAAACCUCACCAUGUAAACCCAGUACAGGCUUUAUGCAUAGCAGGGAUGUUAGAUCUCCCAAACAGCAGGCUGCAGGGAGCCAAGGCCAGCAAGGCCCUGCCUCACAGCUCAGGGCACGCUCCUGUCCCUUGAGAGCCACUUGCCCAUUUGGUGGACAGCCCUGCUCAGCCACCUCCAUUCUCAUCAGGUGUUUUUAGUAUUGGUCACUUCAGGACAAUGGGCUUCCAGUCCCAUGCGCACAUUUAACAAGUUUUCAGCAUGGUCCUUGGGCUGUAUCAGUUGAAUUGUGUUGUUCAGACUAAGCCAGUCUCCCUUCUGCAGCUUUUCCUGUUGACAUUUGCACCUGGGACAUCCUGGAGCUCUCAUCCACUUUUGGCAGCAGAACUUGUAUGAGAGGUCUCUCUCUCUCUCUCUCUCUCUCUUUUUUUUUUUUUUUUUUUUAACAGUAGCUGCUGUAAUUAUAACUGUGUGGCUUUUUCCUUACACCUUUUCUGAGCAAAAAAUAAUAUCUUGUCUGAACACAAAAAGCAAAACCUGGUGACGAGAGCAGCCCUCCCCAGAGCAGUGACCUUUUCCACCACAUUUUUGGAAGACAGCAGCCAGAGUAACAGAUCUGACUCAGACUGACGAGGUGGUGUUCAGAAGCAGAGAUUAAGGAAAAAGUGUGAAUUAAAUGAGGUUCGAUGUGUUAAACAGCAGGCACUUCCCAAGCGUAAAUAUUUUGGCACCAAACUUUGUGAUGGUUUUAAUCUGCACAAAGCAGUGAGACUGGACCAGGCACAUCUUCAGGAUGUGGCACAGGCACACACCUGUCCCAUCCCAUGGUAUGAAGAGGUAUAAGUACCUGCUUUGCUUGGGAAUCUCAAUCAUUUUCAUCAAGUUUUGGUCCAGUUCAACCACGGGAGCUCUGCAGAUCCUGUCCUGUCCCCAGCACAGCUUGCAGCCAUGCUCUGGCUCAGCUUGUGCUCAGCCCUCACCUCCUGUGCCCCUGCCAGCGCCAGCCCCACCGCUGCCAUCUCACCUCCCAGGCACACCUGAAUUCAACCUUCCUGGGUUCCCUCGGCCCUUUUCCCCCAAAGGGCUGGCCCAGCUGAUACCCAAAUUGCACCACAGCCCCUGCCUGAUAGUGGCCUUGCUGCAGUUACACUUAUAUAUUUUUUUCCUGGCAUGUUUUCCUUUAACUGGUAUAGAAGAAUGCAGGCACAAAAAAUGUUUUUUGCCUCCCCUUCUUUUCAUUUAGUGCCUUAUGAGGAGGUAAUUGCGGUCUCCUUCUCUUUCAUUCAAUGUUUCUAUCUGGCACUAGAGGGCAGAAGAAAGGAGCUCAGAGGCUCCCAGCCGAGACCUGGCUCUUCUCAGCCGCUAUCUGAGGGUGCAGAAAUAAAUCUGGCUUGAAAGGCUUCUCCCUCCA